UAUAUGAUAGUAUGUUUUUUUAUAAUUUGAAUGGUAACAUUAUUAUAGUAAAUUCAUGGUAUAAAAGUAAAAUGAGGUGAAAGAGAACAAUUUGAAUUUGAAUUCUGAUGAUGUAAGCGAUGAUGUCAUCGGAACGAUGAGGUAAGCAAUGAUGUCAUCAGAAGGAUGAUGUAAGCAAUGAUGUCAUUUGAUCGAUGAUGUAAGCAAUGAUGUCAUAUGAUCGAUGAUGUAAGCGAUGAUGUCAUAAAUUAUGGCGAAAAGACUAUUUUACCCUUACUCUACCA
rnacentral:lncRNA from 1 species